GGCCAUCUGGCCCAAUGGUCAAGGCUCCUGCCUACGAAGCAGGAGACUCCAGGUUCGAGUCCUGGGAUGGUCG
rnacentral:tRNA from 1 species